AUUGAACGCUGGCGGCAUGCCUUACACAUGCAAGUCGAACGGCAGUACGGGAGCAAUCCUGGUGGCGAGUGGCGAACGGGUGAGUAAUGUAUCGGAACGUACCUUUCAGUGGGGGAUAACGUAGCGAAAGUUACGCUAAUACCGCAUAUUCUGUGAGCAGGAAAGCAGGGGAUCGCAAGACCUUGCGCUGAUUGAGCGGCCGAUAUCAGAUUAGCUAGUUGGUGAGGUAAAGGCUCACCAAGGCGACGAUCUGUAGCGGGUCUGAGAGGAUGAUCCGCCACACUGGAACUGAGACACGGUCCAGACUCCUACGGGAGGCAGCAGUGGGGAAUUUUGGACAAUGGGCGCAAGCCUGAUCCAGCCAUGCCGCGUGAGUGAAGAAGGCCUCGGUU
rnacentral:rRNA from 1 species